UACGGGGGGGGCAAGCGUUGUUCGGAAUUACUGGGCGUAAAGGGCUCGUAGGCGGCCAACUAAGUCAGACGUGAAAUCCCUCGGCUUAACCGGGGAACUGCGUCUGAUACUGGAUGGCUUGAGUUCGGGAGAGGGAUGCGGAAUUCCAGGUGUAGCGGUGAAAUGCGUAGAUAUCUGGAGGAACACCGGUGGCGAAGGCGGCAUCCUGGACCGACACUGACGCUGAUGAGCGAAAGCCAGGGGAGCGAACGGG
rnacentral:rRNA from 1 species